AUGCAUCUGUUUGACAGACCUGCAACAGUUACUUACCUGCUGCCAAGGUUUCCACUACAGAUGCAAAAAAAAAAAAGCAUCCUCACACCUUCUGCCUGUGUAAUUAUAUCAGCCCAUAAUUGAAUGGGGAAAUGCAAGA
rnacentral:snoRNA from 1 species